rnacentral:rRNA from 1 species
CAGUCGCCGCGGGAAUACCGAGGCCUCAAGCGUUGUUCGGAUUCAUUGGGCGUAAAGGGUGCGUAGGUGGCUUGGUAAGUUGAAGGUGAAAUCUCGGGGCUUAACCCCGAAACUGCCUUCAAUACUGCUAGGCUCGAGGACUGUAGAGGAGAAUGGAAUUCACGGUGUAGCAGUGAAAUGCGUAGAUAUCGUGAGGAAGACCAGUGGCGAAGGCGAUUCUCUGGGCAGUUCCUGACACUGAGGCACGAAGGCCAGGGGAGCAAACGGGAUUAGAUACCCCCGUAGUCCCUGUCUCUUAUAC